rnacentral:rRNA from 1 species
AAGUCUGACGGAGCACGCCGCGUGAGCGAUGAAGGCCUUCGGGUCGUAAAGCUCUGUUGUUAGGGAAGAACAAGUACCAGAGUAACUGCUCGUACCUUGACGGUACCUAACCAGAAAGCCACGGCUAACUACGUGCCAGCAGCCGCGGUAAUACGUAGGUGGCAAGCGUUGUCCGGAAUUAUUGGGCGUAAAGCGCGCGCAGGCGGUUUCUUAAGUCUGAUGUGAAAGCCCCCGGCUCAACCGUGGAGGGUCAUUGGAAACUGGGGAACUUGAGUGCAGAAGAAGAAAGCGGAAUUCCACGUGUAGCGGUGAAAUGCGUAGAGAUGUGGAGGAACACCAGUGGCGAAGGCGGCUUUCUGGUCUGUAACUGACGCUGAGGCGCGAAAGCGUGGGGAGCAAACAGGAUUAGAUACCCUGGUAGUCCACGCCGUAAACGA